UGUCAGAGACGAGAUUCGAACUCGCGCAGACAGAAGUCUAUGGCAAACCCCAAUUUUUCGGGCAAGAUUUCGAGAUCUUGAGUGCCACCCCUUAGACCAGCUCGGGCACUCUGAC
rnacentral:tRNA from 1 species